AUUGAACGCUGGCGGCAGGCCUAACACAUGCAAGUCGAGCGGUAGAGAGAAGCUUGCUUCUCUUGAGAGCGGCGGACGGGUGAGUAAUGCCUAGGAAUCUGCCUGGUAGUGGGGGAUAACGUUCGGAAACGGACGCUAAUACCGCAUACGUCCUACGGGAGAAAGCAGGGGACCUUCGGGGCCUUGCGCUAUCAGAUGAGCCUAGGUCGGAUUAGCUAGUUGGUGAGGUAAUGGCUCACCAAGGCGACGAUCCGUAACUGGUCUGAGAGGAUGAUCAGUCACACUGGAACUGAGACACGGUCCAGACUCCUACGGGAGGCAGCAGUGGGGAAUAUUGGACAAUGGGCGAAAGCCUGAUCCAGCCAUGCCGCGUGUGUGAAGAAGGUCUUCGGAUUGUAAAGCACUUUAAGUUGGGAGGAAGGGCAGUUACCUAAUACGUGAUUGUUUGACGUUACCGACAGAAUAAGCACCGGCUAACUCUGUGCCAGCAGCCGACGG
rnacentral:rRNA from 1 species